GCGAAAGUGGCGGAAUUGGCAUACGCGCUAGAUUUAGGAUCUAGUCCCGGGAAACGGGUUGGGGGUUCGACUCCCCCCUUUCGCA
rnacentral:tRNA from 1 species